rnacentral:misc_RNA from 1 species
UUUCCGUAGGUGAACCUGCGGAAGGAUCAUUAUUGAAUGAACUUGGUGUGGUUGUUGCUGGCCCUCUCGGGGGCAUGUGCACACCCACCAUCCUCAUCUCUCCACCUGUGCACCUCUUGUAGACCUGGAUUGACUUUCCGAGGCAACUCGGUCGGGAAGAUUGCUGCGCUCUGUGAGCCAGCUUUCUUUGCAUGUCCAGGCCUAUGUUUUUCAUAUGCCCCUAUAGAAUGUAACAGAAUGUAUCAUUGGGCCUUGUGCCUAUAAACCUUAUACAACUUUCAGCAACGGAUCUCUUGGCUCUC